GACGUAGGGCGCGAGCGUUGUCCGGAUUUAUUGGGCGUAAAGAGCUCGUAGGCGGCUUGUCGCGUCGACCGUGAAAACUCGCAGCUCAACUGCGAGCCUGCGGUCGAUACGGGCAGGCUAGAGUUCGGUAGGGGAGACUGGAAUUCCUGGUGUAGCGGUGAAAUGCGCAGAUAUCAGGAGGAACACCGGUGGCGAAGGCGGUUCUCUGGGCCGAUACUGACGCUGAGGAGCGAAAGCGUGGGGAGCGAACAGG
rnacentral:rRNA from 1 species